rnacentral:rRNA from 1 species
AAAUAGUAAAAUUAAUUUGAUUAAAUUUUAUAUGAAGUUCAAUUAUGAAGUUUAAGAAUAUUGGCGGUAAUUUAUUAAAUUCUGAGAAUCUUGCUUAAUUAAAAUGAUAUUACACAGAUUAUCUUACCUAAGUUUUAUUGUUUAUGUAUUGCUGUUUAAUUUAUUAUUUAAUAUUAAUUAAAUAAAUGAAAUUAAUAGUGUUAAGAAAUUCAAGUCAAAAUGUAGCGAUAUUUAGGGUUAAGUGAGUUGCUUUUCUUUAGAAUAUAGGUUUAUAAAAGGAAGUGAAAGAUUUUUUUAGAAGAGGAUUAGGAUGUAAUUUAAAAGUAGUUAGUUUUUUUGAUAAGUUUUAUUAUUAUGU